AAGCAAACGUCUUGAUUUCCAAUCCAACACCAACUUAUUACUACCCACACCCACCUCUUCAACCCUAUACCCAUCAUUAAAAAGCCCUAACAACAGCUUUGCUUGACAAUGAUUUGCAAAGCUCACCGGAACUCCCCUAAACCCUACCUCACCUAACCACUCCCCCCAUGACCUUCUCUCCUCUUCACCACCCGUUCUAUAUAUCCGGCCCAACGAGCCUGCAAUUCUAGGCCCAAAAAAUACCCUCUCCACCAAAGUCCGGGCCCGGUUCUGCAUCGGAAAACCAGCCUCCAAUGAAUCAAAAACCGCUGAAUAAUGAUGAAGUGAGUCCAUGAACCUUUCCACAAACCCACCAAUAACAGAACCAACUUCUUCUUCAACCAACGUCACAAGCUUUGGAUUCAACGUUUUUGCUCCGUUUAAAAACGAAGCAACUGAUUCCGGUGCACGGUAACUAAGGUGAGGUAAAUUCAGCAUGCAGUUGAAAACCAAAGCCUCUCCACGUACAAGCUUUAAUGCAGAAGGACGGAAAGUUUCAUCGGAGUCUAAUCUGCAGUGAUGAAAAGAAAAUGGUUGUCCGAGGGAAGCGGCAAAGGAGGUUAAUCGCCUGCCGGUUUCUUGUACGGUGGCGAUUGACCUCCGGCCGGUUCCUGUCCGCGAUAAUGCGGUUAUCCGAAGAUGUGGACCGUUGUUGUUGGAAGCAAGUGAUUGGAUUAAUGAGGCCCAUUGGACCCCUUCCAUGAUAUCGUAGUCGAUGACAUGGACGCGGCGUUCGUGGGCCACGGCUUCGAUGAUGGCUUGAUUGGCUGUGAAGUGGCCGAAUUUGACGUAAGGUGACAUGUCUUGAAGUAGUUGGAAAGCAGCAAGUGUGUCGUUUUGGUUGUCGUGGGGACCAUUUGUGGUGAGGUAAUGUUUGUUGUUGUUGUGGUGAUGGUGGUUAUUAUGCGCACCCCCAGCACCUUCUAGUAGUCCAUGAAGGGCUUCGGUGAAAUGAGCGGCAAGUCUCUCCAUGUUGGAGCCGUUAGCAUGUUGUGAGACUAAUUCCUUGAGCCGGAUCAAUAUCACUCGAGCUAAGUCACGGUUUUUGGUUGAACCGGUUAAGGCUUCCGCGCCAGCCAUCAAUAGGUGCACUAGUUUUAGCCCUUUUGAAUCAUCACCAACUUCAUGCGUUUUUAUUGCCGUUGUUGUUGUUGUGGUUGUUGUUUCCAUUUCUUCUUCUUCCUCAUCCGUGGUUGUGGUGGUGGUGGUGGUUGUGGUGAUAGAUGGACUGAGCUGUUCGAGGACAGUUGUUCUGUCCUCGAUGAUGGUGUCCAUGAGGUGGUGAAAGUCAUCUGGGGCACCUGUAAAGGUGUCCCAGUUGACGAUGGGAGACCAGUGGUUCCAGGUGCAACCAUAAUCCUCGUCGGAAGUAGGGGUGUUGGUGAGGGAGCUGUGUCCAGAGAAGUGGAGGUCAUUGAUGGCAUCCAUGUCCAUCAAAUCCAUGGUAUAAUUAAGUUAGGUGUUUAAGAGAAAGAGAUCAGCAAAAUAUAAUAUAUAGUUAGGUUUGUGUAUAUUAUUAUUGAGUUGUGGUUUGUUGUGUGGUGAGGGAGAAUGAAUGGUAUGGGAAGAGGUUUAUAAAGGGGUUGAGAGGUGAUGGAGAGAGAGAAGAAGGAUUCAGAGGAUGAGACAGUGGAAGUCCAAAAACUGAUUGGUAAGUUAAGGGAAUAUUGUUAUGUGCGCUGUUGUCACUAACAACAUGACCUCCUACCUGAUGUGAAUGCAAAUUAUUUUUAAAUAUUUUAUGAAAUAAAUAACUUAUAAAAG
rnacentral:lncRNA from 1 species